rnacentral:rRNA from 1 species
ACCUAACGGUACAAGGGGGCCGCUUACCACGGUGCGUUUCGUGACUGGGGUG